rnacentral:tRNA from 1 species
CGCGGGGUGGAGCAGCCCGGUAGCUCGUCAGGCUCAUAACCUGAAGGACGUCAGUUCAAAUCUGGCCCCCGCAACCA